CUUCGUUACGAAUUGUACGUGCAUAUUCUUCAUCCUCCGCUUCUUGAAGUUGUCUAGCAUAUGCUUCAUCGGCAGCCUCCCGGCGUGCGCCGAAUGGUCCUCGUUCAACUGGAAUUUUCACCCUUCUCCUAGAGGAUGAUGAUGGAACUUGAACAUUUUGAGUAAACUCGUGAGAAGUGGGAGUGCUAUCAAUAUCUUCUUCGUGGUCGACAUUGAUAGACUUGCCACGGUUACCAC
rnacentral:lncRNA from 1 species